rnacentral:rRNA from 1 species
CAGUAGCCGCGGGUAAUACGAAGGGGGCGAGCGUUGCUCGGAAUGACUGGGCGUAAAGGGCGCGUAGGUGGUACGGACAGUCAGAUGUGAAAUUCCCGGGCUCAACCUGGGGGCUGCAUUUGAUACGUCCGAACUAGAGUGUAGAAGAGGGUCGUGGAAUUCCCAGUGUAGAGGUGAAAUUCGUAGAUAUUGGGAAGAACACCGGUGGCGAAGGCGGCGACCUGGUCCAUUACUGACGCUGAGGCGCGAAAGCGUGGGGAGCAAACAGGAUUAGAUACCCGAGUAGUCCUGUCUCUUAUAC